UACAGAGGGUGCGAGCGUUAAUCGGAAUUACUGGGCGUAAAGCGUGCGUAGACGGUUGCGCAAGUCAGAUGUGAAAGCCCCGGGCUCAACCUGGGAAUUGCAUUUGAGACUGCGUAGCUAGGGUGCGGAAGAGGGAAGCGGAAUUUCCGGUGUAGCGGUGAAAUGCGUAGAUAUCGGAAGGAACACCAGUGGCGAAAGCGGCUUCCUGGUCCAGCACCCGACGUCAGGCACGAAAGCGUGGGGAGCAAACAGG
rnacentral:rRNA from 1 species